UUACGGCCGUAUCACGUUGAAACACUGGUUCCCGUACGAUCACCAAAGUUAAGCAACGUUGAGCCUGAUCAGUACCUAGAUGGGUGUCCGCUUGGUAAAACUAG